GCUUAAAUACUGGACUCAGCCGCCAUAUCGGUCUUUCGGAGCUCGGAGUGGGGCAGAUAUGUUGCCGUGUACCUCUCUGGGACAGUUGGCAUCAUACAGACAGAUCUUUGGCCAAGUGGGAUGAAGAGUGAGGAACUGAAAGAAGUUGGACUAGCCAUGGGUGUACAGAGUGCUAUAAUGGAAAAGCAAGAUGAAAUGCGAGAAGUGAUGGAGAUGGCAGAUAAAUGGGCAAACAUGGCUUGGUGAUGGAAUUAGUUGGACAACUUUGAAACUACUGGUUGCAUGUUUUCAUUUGGAUGGCUUGCUUGGGUAUGAAUCCUGCCUACGUACCAGAAGAGUGCAUUGGAGAAGCAGUCUUUGCUCUUUUAAGUUCACCUUUUAAAUGAAGGUGUCUUGCAUGGCUCUCGACUGAAGGCUCCAGGAAGCUUUUACAUGAAGAUCCUUCAUUUUGAAUUUCAAGGGCUCCUAUGGCAGAAGUGGACAGAUUGACAAUUUCACAUCACUAUUUAAAAGGUGACUGGAUGGAGACUCAGAAGAUUACCUCAGGCUGUUUUCCCAUCAUAGUCAAUAAACUGAAUGGAAUUAAAUACAAAGUGUGUGUUUGGUUCUCUAGCAGGAACAAGUAGAGAAGAUUGUUCAGGCAUGGGUUUAUGUCUAUACAUGUGUUCCUAAGCCUUUCUCAGGAUGAGCUUUUAAAGCAAGCACAUGACUCAUAGCUUCAGUUUAAAAAUUGGCAGGUAGUGCUUGAGUUGAUAGCACUGAAAAGGUGUGAGGGCUGCAGGCAAACUAGUUAUUGGAAGCAUUUGGGCUGCACAGCUGGGAAUGAAACUAGAGGAUUGGUUUGAAAAGAGUAGAAGUGAACAUCUGCACUUAACCCUCCUGGCCUGA